GUUUAUCAAUUGUGUAAUCUGGAUUCAAUUUUGUUCUAUAAACCCAUUUUGAACCAAUAGCCUUUUUGUCCUUGGGUAGCACAGUAAGAUCCCAAGUAUUAUUGCUCUCAAGAGCUUCUAUUUCCUUGUCCAUAGCCAAGAUCCAAUUUUCAUCAUCCUUAGCUUGAUUGUAAUGUUGAGGAUCAGAAGAAGUGGAGCAUACAGAGAAAGCAAGAGAAUCCCAAACAUCAAAGUUAUGAAGAGCUAAAUCAAGUAACCAAUUAAAUUCAGUUGAAGCUGUAUGAGUGAUGUGAGGCAGAAUAGAAUCAGCAGAAAAUGACAAAGAUUCACUGUCAUUAGGAGCAGCCAAAGAAGUUCUAUGAGGUACAUAACCUCCUACAAAAUCAGUAAGAACUGAAGAUGGUUUGAUCUGUCUGGUAGAUUGUCUGGUAGUUGGAUUUGAAGGUAGAGUAAUUGUAUUAGAAGGUGGAUGAGAAUGGUCAGAUUCUAAAGAAUUAGAAGGAAAAGAAGGAGAAGAAUGUGUGUUUGGGGGAUCAGAAUGUAUAGAGUGAUUGGAAAGAGUUGGAGAUGACUGAGAGAUAAUAGGAGAGUUGGGAGAAUUAAUUGAAUGAUCAGAGUCAUUGGUGUGAUUUGGAAGAAUAACAGUACUAUCAGUACCAAAAUGAACUAGAGAAGGAGGAUUAAUGACAGGAAUAGAAUCAGGUUUAAGACCAUAUGGGAAAAUUGUCUCAAAAAAUAUCACAUCCCUGGAUAUAAACACCUUGUGAGUAUCAAGAUCAUAAAGUUUGAAACCUUUGUAGCCAGCAGGAUAUCCAAUAAACAAACACCUUUUUGCCCUUGAAUCAAAUUUGUCCCUACCAAUAUGAUUAUUGUGAGCAAAACACAAGCAACCAAACACCCUUAAGGCAUCAUAUGCAGGAGGUUUAUUGAACAAUACCUCAAAAGGAGUUUUCAAACCCAAAAGUUUAGAAGGAAUUUUGUUGAUUAGGUGAGUAGCAGCAAGUAUACAUUCUCCCCAGAAUUUUUUAGGAAGACCUGCAUGAAACUGUAAUCCCCCGUAAUUUUAUACAUUUUAUUAAUAUAUUUUAACGUAUAAGUAAUUAUAUUAAAAUAGAAUUUACGAAUUUUGAAAUAAAUAUUUAAGUAACGAAUAUUUAUUUUUUAUACGUUUUAAAUAUUUCAACGAUUUAUGAAAUUAAAAUAAUUUUAGAACUUUUGUUGAAAAGAAAUCGAAUUACGAAAACCGUUUGAAGUUGGAAAACAAUCCUAAUUGGUUUUGGAUUCAAAUACUUAAACUCAAUCCUAGUUCUAGCCCAAAUUGAUAAAGCCCAAAUAACAAAAACUCAAAUUCUUUACUCCCUCCUCUUUCUAUUUCACGUGAAACCAAAAACACCAAAACCCUCAAACCUUGCUUCCUCCUUCACGUGAACCUGCAGCCCUCACCUCCUUCAGCGUCGCACAGCCGCCGCACCAGCCACUGCCUGGCCGCCGUCGUUGCUAGGCCACCACCUCCUCCGUCGAUCGCCACCACCACACGCCGCUAGCCUUGCCGCCGCCUGUCACUGCUGCCACGCUUCCCAACCUCCGGCGGUCUCCCUCCUUUCUCCUCCACGCACGCAACAAGCUUCCCCUUUCUUCUUUUCUUGCUUCACCAUCAGCACAACCACCACCGUCGCUGCCACCUGACAGUCGUGCCGCACCGCACUCCUGCGCCCGUGCUGCACCGCCGUGGCCGCCGUCGCUCCCUGCCCAGCCGGCGCCCUUGCUCUUCACUCUCUUCUUGAUUUGGCGGAGAAUUCUCUUUAGGCGACUUUUGAAAGUGUUAAAGUGGCCUAUCAGUUUGUUUACACAAGUCUCUAAGGAUCAAUAAGCGUUGCCCAUCUACAGGUUUGAAGAUGAUGCAUCAUUGGGAUCGGGAUUAGAGAGCUUAUAGUUCUAUUUGUUUAAUUAAGUGAUUUAAUUUGUUAACUUGGAUUUGAAAUUUGUCGUACUAUUUAUAUUUCCUUAUUUUCGUUUAUUGGUUUUGGGAUUAAACCUGUAAUCAAUUACCUAUAAACCUCAAAUUAGUUUUAUGUUUUCCGCUGCAAAA